rnacentral:sRNA from 1 species
AUGUACCACUCGUACACUCCGGUUCCUGUGCGCCGCCCGCACCCGCCUGACGACUGCUCGCAGUUCUUGCCGGUGGUGAGCA